UAUAAUAAAAAUUACAAUUUAUUUCAAAAAAUAAAUUUUAAGGAAUUUACAUUUAAGCGUUAAAACUAUAUGUUUAUUGCAGGCUUAGAGAAUAUUCUUGGUUUCUGAAAUAAAUAUUAAAAAUUGAUUUGUUAAUUUUGUCGAUAGAAAAACGUUUUUGUCAGAUAAUUUGUAUAUAUUACAGACAACAUUCGCUAUGCCAUCAAGUCGCUCUGCAUAUAAAUGUUGCAACACAAGCAAUGAAGAAUACUCAUUAUUUACAUAUCCACGUGAUAAUACAUUAAAACAAAAAUGGAUUACUGCGGUUGGAAGAGGCAAGAACUGGUCACCUAGCAGUUCUCAAAAACUUUGUGAAGUAAUGUGCAGUAAUGUGCAGUACACUUUAUGCCAUUAGAAAUUGAGUUUGUUGCUGGGCGCAAACAAGUGAAACUGGAUUCAAUUCCUUCUCGUUUCUGUACGUGCCAAUUGUUAUUGAAAGAGCAGCCAUCAAGAAGCAGCAAGCAAAUUAAGCCAUCGAUCAACAGUCUCAAAUAUUAAUAAUACGUCCAGUAAAAAGACUUAGGAGGGAAACAACUGUUCUCAACAUACCAUUUUCUCUGCGUAUUUUUUUUUCAUUUCAUCCAUAUAUUUGUUCUGUAUCAAUUUCUUGAGACUUCGCAGUAGUUUGUAUUUCCUCCAUGGUUAAUGGUUUGGAAGUCUUAUACACACAGCCAUGCUGAAGUUGGACCGAUGUUCCCCGUUUCAUUUUAAAACAAGUCUUUUUACUGGACGUAUUAUUAAUAUUUAAGGCUAUUGAUGGCUUAAUUUGCUUGCUGCUUCUUGAUGGCUGGCUCUUUCAAUAACAAUUGGCACGUACAGAAACGAGAAGGAAUUGAAUCCAGUUUCACUUGUUUGCGCCCAAUAAACUCAAUUUCUAAUGGCAUAAAGUGU